UGCGUAGGGGGCAAGCGUUGUCCGGAUUUAUUGGGCGUAAAGAGCGUGUAGGCGGCUUUACAGGUCCGUUGUGAAAACUCGAGGCUCAACCUCGAGACGCCGGUGGAAACCGUAAAGCUAGAGUCCGGAAGAGGAGAGUGGAAUUCCUGGUGUAGCGGUGAAAUGCGCAGAUAUCAGGAGGAACACCGGUGGCGAAGGCGGAUCUCUGGGCCUGUCCUGACGCUGAGGCGCGAAAGCUAGGGGAGCGAACAGG
rnacentral:rRNA from 1 species